rnacentral:rRNA from 1 species
UAGUCCACGCCGUAAACGAUGGUUACUAGCUGUUUGGUUUUCGGACUGAGUGGCUAAGCGAAAGUGAUAAGUAACCCACCUGGGGAGUACGUUCGCAAGAAUGAAACUCAAAGGAAUUGACGGGGCCCGCACAAGCGGUGGAGCAUGUGGUUUAAUUCGAUGAUACGCGAGGAACCUUACCAGGGCUUAAAUGUAGAUUGACAGGACUAGAGAUAGUUUUUUCUUCGGACAAUUUACAAGGUGCUGCAUGGUUGUCGUCAGCUCGUGCCGUGAGGUGUCAGGUUAAGUCCUAUAACGAGCGCAACCCCUGUUGUUAGUUGCCAGCAUGUAAAGAUGGGAACUCUAGCAAGACUGCCGGUGCAAACCGCGAGGAAGGUGGGGAUGACGUCAAAUCAUCACGGGCCCUUACGCCUAGGGGCGACACACGUGCUACAAUGGGUACAUACAGAGGGGUUGCGAAGCCGCGAGGUGGAGCUAAUCUCAAAAACC